GUGCUCAUGGCCUGCUGAAGACUGAUGUUGGAACAGAAGAGCUGAGAAACACACCUGCCCCUACCUCAAGCCCUGCACCAAGUAAAAGUCAGCAGCAAUAUACCCUGGGGAAAGGGCUAGAGUGUGGCUGGAGAUCUUGCUGAAAGCUGGAGGUGGAGGAGGAAUACAAAGAUAAGAUUUUAGGACUCCAGGCUUCACAACUCCUUCUACAUCUGUUGUUCAAGGUUCAGACUCAAUAUGCAACUAAUUUAUGAAGCCCGUUUAGACCACAACAACCCUGAUGCAAGAUGUUCUCCACUAUGUUAAGAUGCAGCAUGAAGCCCUUACCAGAAGCUAAGAGUAUUCCGUUAGAGCAACACAAAACAGACUAAGACAACUUGUUCAUUACUGAUGUACAGAUUUCACUGACCAGCAACACUCCAGUGAAACUGCAGUCAAAAUUUAUGGAGUCUGCAGUAAAUAUGAAGCUAAAGUAACAGCACUCUCCAGGAAAAGCUGCCUGCUAGAUAACAUGAAGACACGCCAGCAGCCUCAUGGGGGUGGAGGGAAGAGAGGCCUCAUGGUGAGGGACUGAGGCCUCCUACUAAAAGCCAGCACUAACUUGUCAGGCAUGAAAGUGAGCCACCUGGAAGCACAUCUUCAGCCCCUGUGGACCCUUUAGAUGACUGCAGGCCCUGCUGACAUCUUGACUGAAACCUCAUGAGACAGCUAGAACCAGAAUCGCCCAGAGAGAAGAACAUCAAAGGUGCGGGUUUAGGGCCCAGAAAGCCACUGGCCCCUUAAUAUCCAGAAAAGGACAAAAACUCACGGGAGUCAAGCACUGUUUGCCUGGAAGAAGAAAGAUAAAGACACAGACAAGCCCUGCUCCCCCACCAGCCAAAACUACUAUUCUACCUGUUUCCUGAUUCUGACCCACACUUCAAGGUACUUAUGAAGAGGGACUAUGUCUGAGUUUAUGCAUUAUUAUGUUCCUAACACCUGGGAGAAGGUCUGGUACCCAGUUGACUCUUG
rnacentral:lncRNA from 10 species